UACGUAGGGGGCGAGCGUUGUCCGGAAUCAUUGGGCGUAAAGCGCGUGUAGGCGGCCCGGUAAGUCCGCUGUGAAAGUCCAGGGCUCAACCCUGGGAUGCCGGUGGAUACUGUCGGGCUCGAGUCCGGAAGAGGCGAGUGGAAUUCCUGGUGUAGCUGUGAAAUGCGCAGAUAUCAGGAGGAACACCAAUGGCGAAGGCAGCUCGCUGGGACGUGACUGACGCUGAGACGCGAAAGCGUGGGGAGCAAACAGG
rnacentral:rRNA from 1 species